CUCCUGAUAGCUCAGUUGGUAGAGCGAUGGACUGUAAUUGCAAUAACUAUGGAAAAUCCACAGGUCGCGUGUUCGACUCACGCUCGGGAGA
rnacentral:tRNA from 1 species